rnacentral:misc_RNA from 1 species
GAUGAAGAACGCAGCGAAAUGCGAUACUUGGUGUGAAUUGCAGAAUCCCGUGAACCAUCGAGUCUUUGAACGCAAGUUGCGCCUCAAGCCAUUAGGCUGAGGGCACGUCUGCCUGGGCGUCACAUAUCGUUGCCUGAUGCCAGUUUCCUCGUGAUGGGUGACUGUGCAGGGCGAAUGAUGGCUUCCCGUGAGCAUUGUUGCCUCAUGGUUGGUUGAAAAUUGAGUCCUUGGUAGGGAGCGCCGUGAUAGAUGGUGGUUGAGUGACGAACGAGACCCAAUCAUGUGAGACCCCUACCGAAUUUGGCCUUCAUGACCCACAUGCGUCUUUGGAACGCUCAUGACGAGACCUCAGGUCAGGCGGGGCUACCCGCUGAGUUUAAGCAUAUCAAUAAGCGGAGGA